GUAAUUCUUCUGCAGCUUCUCCUCCAUGAGGAUCCGCGUCUGCUCGCUCGCGUUCAGCUGCCGGCUCAGGUCGGCGAUCCUGUCCUGGAGGCGCUGCACCUCCUUCUGAUGGUCCCGCUGCAAAGCCUGCUGCAUCUCCAGGUCGCUCUUGAGCUUGGCCAGGGUCUGCUCCUUGAUGGAGAGCUCGGCGGCCGCGUUGCUGAGCCUCGCCUGCAGGCUCUGAAUCUCGGCUUCGUGGUGCCGGAUCACGUCCUUAGCCUCGGCGUAGCUGCGUUUCAGCGACUGAAUCUGCUGAUUGAUCAGCUCUUGACGCCGGCACUGGGCUUCCAGCUCGCUUUGGAGGUCUUGGUUGACUUUGUGGAGCCUCUGCCAGGCACCUGAUGGCGAGGCGGCCACCUCGGUCUUAAAAAAAUUGAUUAAAUACGAGAUUAGUAACACUCUUGGCUCUCCCUUCUGAGUGUCACACCUCUGGCCAGGCAGGCCAUGGAAAAGCUCCUCACAGCGAUUUGGCUGCUACCCACAUGCUCCAAUUGGGAUGAUUUGUUCUUGGCACAAUUUUAUUUUGUUUUAACCAACUUUUUUUUUUCUCUCUUUUUUUUUUUUUUUAAAUGAGCGACAACUGCUUUCCAGUAACAGAAAACAUGGACCGUAACAUCAAAACAGCUGUACAGUAACAGGCUAAAAAGAAAACAACCAAAAUCAAACAGAACCAAAAAAAAAACAAUGAAAAAAAAAAAAAAAGAAACACCAGCAGUAAAACAGAGACGGACAGACGAGAGAAAAACUGGAAGGGUGAGAAGGAGGAGGGGACGGGAACAGGCCGGGGAGAAAGGAAUUGCUUUUUUUUAGUGUGUUUGUUCAUUUUGUCAUGAAACAAAAAGUGCACAGUUCAGGUACCACAGUCCUACCGAACAAAAGCAACAACAGAAAGUGAGGUGGCAGCAAAUGACAUCACAUCCCACCGAAACGCAGGGAGACAGGACAGCCGGCGUGGCGAUGUCAUUUCUGUGACUGCUAGACAGGACUUAUUGGCUGCUCAUCGCAUUAGAGAGAUGGUGUUAUGCUAAAGUUUAAGGCUAGGAAGGAUUCUAAUUUCGCUACCUGCAAAAAAAACAAACAAACAAACGAAAAAGGACAAAAUAAAAAGCCCGACAAGUGAAGGAGGGGUGGGGGGAACAGGUGUGAUGAGAAUGUAAAACGAAAGAAACCAACCUUUGUGAGAUUCAAACCAAAGCAGUGUAGCAUGCAAAGAGAAAACUCACACAGAGAGUCAUGCAAAAGGCGACAGAAAUGAUGUAUCUUUAAAAAAAAAAAAUAAUACACAGACAGGAAGAGGCAAGAGAAGCACAGCGUUAAGCCUAGGAAUUUGGCCUGCCUUGCUGUACUCUGGUUGCUGGUAAGGAAAGCCCACAGAUGUGACACUCAGUUAACGUUAAAAGUUAAAUUUCAUGCUUUACACCAAAAAAAAAAA